rnacentral:lncRNA from 1 species
AUGAAACUACUUGUUUUCAAAAAUAAAUUUAAGGUCUGAUUCCCAAAAAAGCUUCUUACACCCUAUCAUGAAUUUGAGUUUUAUUUUUUUUAAAUAUUUGUUUUACUUCAGCUUCCCAAGAUGUACAGCAAGUGACAUUUAAUACCAUGAGAUUCACAGCAGUUGUGUUGCUACCUCAAGCUCCGUCACGUAGAUAUGCCAGGAUGUGGAGGCUCCUGGACACAUAGUGCCGCCUGUACCAACUUGGUGGGUGCCAUAUUGAAUUGACUGCAUCUGUCACCCACCGUGUGUCAUGUUGCAUUGUAUGGCAGCUUAUAAUCAGUGCUGACAUGAAGUAGCAGGCUACUCUCACACCUCUGAAAGCAGAUUCAGAACGAAACCAGAUGGCUCCUUGUCUGCUGUGUGAUCAAUUCAGAUUUCCAAUCUUCAGUGAAGAGGAGCCAGUGGACUUCAGCGGAAGUUUGCAGACAUAAUAACCAUUUAAAAGGAAGCAGAAUGAACAGCUGCUGCUAAAUAAGGCUACAAGGAGCUACCCCAAGGAAUAUAACAGCACACAAGUCCAGGUUAUAUAAUGAUAAAGUAGCAUUGUUUGUUUAAGCCUAAGUUAUUAAAGAUCCAU